rnacentral:tRNA from 1 species
GGCCUGAUGGUCUAGUAGUAUGAUUCCUUGUUAGGGUUAACAUCCGAACUCGAGGAGGUCCCGGGUUCAAUUCCCGGUCAGGCCC